rnacentral:lncRNA from 1 species
AUAGCUCCUUGAGUAUCACAGAAGGUCAAAAAGCUGUUUUAUAUACAUGAUCUACUCAUGCUUCUGACCACGUAAUAAAAUAAACAAACAAUGCAUGUAAUAGUAACCAGGGAGCUGUUUAUCUGCAUAGCAGGUGGGUCUUCAAUCAAAUAAAUGAACAGUACAUGUAACAGUGACCAACAAGCUGGUUCCUUGUAUACAGUCGUAGAUAAGUAAAUAAUUAUCAAACUAGGCCAUCACUGGUAUUCACUGGUUGUCUUAGGCAACCUUUAGAAUACAUUUGGUCUUCCAGGGAAAGAAUUUUCUACUAAGUUUGGUUCUUUCCCCAGAGGAAUAAAAUAUUGAAUAAUUGACAAGAAUAUCCAGGUUUAAGCUUUGUGUGGCUAACGGUGACCACCUCAGGUAAACUAAUAUGUUCAACUCUGGAUGUGAGGAGCCCAGUGUCUGGAAAUCCAACCUGAGCUGUCAGGCUUGGCUCCAUCCUUUGAUACUUUUGGCAGAGCUGAUGAACCCAGAGGCCCCAGGCUUGGGUGGAUUAGUCAUUUUCAUUGGAAGCCUGAGUAUUAGGAACCCAUCCCUUGAUUCCCUUGAUUUACAUGGGAAUUGUGGAGUGGGUAAGGCACUUUAUCCAGUUAUUUUAACUUCUUUCUUCUCUUCUGACUCCUUUGGUCAAGGCUGAGGAUUGGGUGACAUGAUGUUUUUACUCAGUGUAGUCAUUAAUUGUGUUUCUUUAUAAAAAUCACCAAGCUUUUCUGGUGUGCAUUUUUAUUCAUUUAGAAAAUGGUACCAUGUCCUAUGAUGUUGCCAUGAAGUAUAAGCAGAGAUCAGAGUCAGGGGCAGCAAGCAUUUGGGAAAGCUAGAGAGUAUGUCUCCUGUGUUGUAACAGAGCCAUGGUGGCAUCAAUUGUAUAUUCUUUGCCGGUUAUUUUUAUAGAAUAUUGUGGAAUCAUUAAAUUUAUGAAAGACUUUCAUAGCUGGCUGGGCCAUAGGAGGUGGUUUGCAAGCCAUGGUUUCAAAUAGAAGAUUGGAUCUGGAAGAGGAUCUAUCUAUCCAGUAGUCUCAUUGGUUGGCAAGAAAAUGGAGGUAGCCCAAAUAUUUAGUGACUUUUCUUUCUCCUCCAUAGCUUUACCAAGGAAAAAUGUCAAAGAGUUUGUUCUAGUUACAUUUGUCUUCCUUUUUAAAGGCUGUUACAAUUAGUGGAAACAAAUUGUAACAACUAAGGAAAAACAGCUUUGACCGCAGAAUGAGAAGUUAGGAGUAGAGAGAUGUUCCAUGUUCCAGAGGUAGGAGUGCUUACUUCUGUAGAGUGUCUGAAUUUUAUUCCCAGCACACACAACGUGUGUGCUCACAACCACCUGUAAUUCCAGUCCCAGGGGAUCUGAUGCCCUCUACUGGCCCCUACAGGCACCUACAGCCAUGUGUGCAUAUCCACACACAGAAGUACACAUACAUACACG